rnacentral:lncRNA from 1 species
AGAAACCUCUAUUGGAUGCUGAGAAAAUAGUAAAUUUUUUAGUGUUUAUGUGAUAUGUUCUAUAGAUGUCUGUUAAGUCCAUUUGAGUUAUGGAGUUAUUUAACUUCAGUAUUUCUCUGUUUGGUUUUUGCCUUGAGCUAACAGGUCCUAUGGUAGAAGUUGGUAAUGUCAUUCACUCUUACUAUGUUAAGGUGAAAUGUUAUCUUGGCUAUAGCAUUGUUUCUUGUAUUUAAUUGGAUGACGUUUUUGAUGCAUAAUGUUUAAAAUUUUAAUAUACUCUGGGUGUAUUAUUUUUUAAUGACUAGGUAGGGUCCUUUCCUAUCUUUUCUAAUUAGUUGUGGCUCGAUGUCUAAUUAGUCAGAUAUUAAAAUAGCUUGCUUCUUGCUUCCAUUUGUGUGGAAUAUUUUUCCUACCUUUUAUCCUAUGUGAGGCAUAUUUCUUGGAUGCAGCAGAAAGAUGGACCCUGUGUUCCAAUCCAUGCAUUAGUGUUUGUUUGUUUUAACUCUGUAAUUUUAGAUGCUGUGGAGGGUGCUGCUUACCGUCUUGCUCAGCAUGGCUUGCUCAGUCUGCUUCCUUAUAGAACCCAGGACCACCAGCCCAGGGAUCCUGUUUUCCAAUGGAUUGUGUCAAGGUGACAUAAAACUAGCCAGCACAAUCGCCAAUUGAAAGGAUUAUAUCUUUAAAAUUAUACAUUUUAAAAGUUCGACCAGGCAAAUCUAUAGCUCUCCAGGUCAAAUACUUUCUAAAACCUUUGCAAAAACUUUAACAAACACACCUGUGGUUCCAGUGAACUCGGGUUGGAGUCUAGCACGAGUUGUUUCACUUCUGAAGUUUGUUUUAGAUCUUAUGUAAUCUCCAAAGGGUCCCAGGAAGGAUGGGACCUCUGCUUGGAUCUGUGCUGAGUCUGAGGAUCACUGCAGGUCAGGGGAGGAGAACUCCUCGCUGGGUGUGAAGCGGAGAAAAUCAAGAACCGGUUGUAACUUGUUCCUCAGCAGCCCCAACUCUGAUAAGCAUGACAAAGAAGAUUUAUGUCUGUGAAGAUGCAGCCCGCUCUCACUGUGUGCAGAAGGAAGUUGGAUGUGAUUUUCAUAGUCAGCCUUAAAUAACCCAUCCACUCCGUUGGCCCAGCAGACUCCUGG